ensembl:lncRNA
CCAACCAUUAACUCUUCACCCCCACUGCCACUAAACCACAUCCCUCCGUGCCACAUUUGCCCUUUUCUUGAACGCUUCCAGGGAUGCUGACUCCACCACCACCCCGGGCAGCCUGUUCCAAUGGAUUUAAUGCUGCUGCCCACCAGCUUCAGCGCAUGCUCUUGUAUUUGCUGCCUCACGACACAGUGCAUUCGCGUGUGGGUGGGCUGACUGGAUUUGAAGUAAACAGCAGGAAGAAGAUCUUCCCAGUGAAUGAAAAACUGCUUCGCUGAGGGAAAACAACCAUGACAGAAAUAUGACAAAUAGCUCUGUAAGUGGCACUUUUCUAAGGAACAUUUUAAGCCUUUGGGAAAGGCAAUGUUCCCUCUGUGAGCCCCAUUAUAUUCAAUGACACACUUCACUAGCUUAGCCAAAAGCCAAC